UCAUUCGGAUUCGCCAUCAUACGUCCAACCGUGCAUUCGAUAUGCAUAUACAUGCAUCACGAGCCACUGUUGGGCUGUAUGAUGGCGAUACCAAUUGG
rnacentral:pre_miRNA from 1 species